AUGAACGCUAGCUACAGGCUUAACACAUGCAAGUCGAGGGGAAACGAUAUUGGAAGCUUGCUUCCGAUAGGCGUCGACCGGCGCACGGGUGAGUAACGCGUAUCCAACCUGCCCAUCACUUGGGGAUAACCUUGCGAAAGUAAGACUAAUACCCAAUGAUAUCUCUAGAAGACAUCUGAAAGAGAUUAAAGAUUUAUCGGUGAUGGAUGGGGAUGCGUCUGAUUAGCUUGUUGGCGGGGUAACGGCCCACCAAGGCGACGAUCAGUAGGGGUUCUGAGAGGAAGGUCCCCCACAUUGGAACUGAGACACGGUCCAAACUCCUACGGGAGGCAGCAGUGAGGAAUAUUGGUCAAUGGACGAGAGUCUGAACCAGCCAAGUAGCGUGCAGGAUGACGGCCCUAUGGGUUGUAAACUGCUUUUAUAAGGGAAUAAAGUGAGUCUCGUGAGACUUUUUGCAUGUACCUUAUGAAUAAGGACCGGCUAACUCCGUG
rnacentral:rRNA from 1 species